rnacentral:rRNA from 1 species
AAAGCAAGACCGUGAGGUGGAGCAAAACUCAAAAACUUGUCUCAGUUCGGAUUGUAGGCUGAAACUCGCCUACAUGAAGCUGGAGUUGCUAGUAAUCGCGAAUCAGCAUGUCGCGGUGAAUACGUUCCCGGGCCUUGUACACACCGCCCGUCACACCAUGAGAGUUGGCAAUACCCAACGUACGUGAUCUAACCCGCAAGGGAGGAAGCGUCCUAAGGUAGGGUCAGCGAUUGGGGUGAAGUCGUAACAAGGUAUC